GUAGAUUCCCACAGGCAGGGUGGUAGCAGUGAACAAAUCCGUAGAAUGCCAACUCAGGUUGUCUGUUCAAGUGACACAGUGUCACAGCUCAGAAUAUAUGCAAGGCAGCUUCACACAAUUAUUGAAGAAUACCAAGAACUCAUCAACUCUCAUGUUGUAGAGUUCUUCGUAAAAAAUCGAUGGGAGGUAUUCCCGAAGUCCUGGCAAGCAGCCCUUGAUGGCUUACCACCAGAUAUCAUGGCUAAU